rnacentral:rRNA from 1 species
UACAGAGGUCCCAAGCGUUGUUCGGAUUCACUGGGCGUAAAGGGUGCGUAGGUGGUAGGGUAAGUCGGAUGUGAAAUCUCGGAGCUCAACUCCGAAACGGCAUUGGAAACUGCCCAACUUGAGGGUCGGAGGGGGGACUGGAAUUCUCGGUGUAGCAGUGAAAUGCGUAGAUAUCGAGAGGAACACCAGUGGCGAAGGCGAGUCCCUGGACGACUCCUGACACUGAGGCACGAAAGCUAGGGGAGCAAAC